rnacentral:rRNA from 1 species
CAGUCUGCAACUCGACUGCACGAAGCUGGAAUCGCUAGUAAUCGCGGAUCAGCACGCCGCGGUGAAUACGUUCCCGGGCCUUGUACACACCGCCCGUCACACCAUGGAAGUCUGCAAUGCCCGAAGCCGGUGGCCUAACCACUUAUGCGGAAGGAGCCGUCUAAGGCGGGGCAGAUGACUGGGGUGAAGUCGUAACAAGGUAUC